rnacentral:rRNA from 1 species
GACGUAGGGGGCGAGCGUUGUCCGGAUUUAUUGGGCGUAAAGCGCGCGCAGGCGGUUCGGUUAGUCGGGUGUGAAAAUCCGGGGCUCAACCCCGGACCUGCAUCCGAUACUUCCGGACUAGAGGCAGGUAGGGGAGAGCGGAAUUCCCGGUGUAGCGGUGAAAUGCGCAGAUAUCGGGAAGAACACCGGUGGCGAAGGCGGCCAUCUGGACCGGUACUGACGCUGAGGCGCGAAAGCCAGGGGAGCGAACAGG